rnacentral:lncRNA from 1 species
AUUGUGGAAUUUUCAGCAGGUGGACAGCAACUGUUGUCUCUAUUUGCAGUAGGUUGGACAGGCAGAUUUCCAGCUUGAAUUUCAGCUUCUUCACGUGCAACAGGGGGUUCUGCCAUUGCUGGAUUUUCUGCAGUAAUCUGGAACUUAGUUUCUGGUGCAAUUUCAGCAGUGGCAGGCGUGGCAGUGGGUGAUUUUGCUGGUGCAGAAAAUUCUACAGCAGGUGCAGCAG